rnacentral:rRNA from 1 species
UAACGAACCCCGGCGCGGUCUGCGCCAAGGAACAUGGAUACAAGUGUGCCCUUCCUUGCCCGGUUCGCUGGGCAAUGAGGUGGCACCAAGUCGUAUAUAACAUUAAACGACUCUCGGCAACGGAUAUCUCGGCUCUCGCAUCGAUGAAGAACGUAGCGAAAUGCGAUACCUGGUGUGAAUUGCAGAAUCCCGCGAACCAUCGAGUCUUUGAACGCAAGUUGCGCCCGAAGCCUUUAGGUCGAGGGCACGCCUGCCUGGGCGUCACGCAUCGCGUCUCCCCCAACCCACCAAGCGUGGGAGGGGCGGAGGAGGAUGGCCUCCCAUGCCUCACCGGGCGUGGAUGGCCUAAAUAGGGAGCCCUCAGUUACGAGAUGCGGGCGAUUGGUGGCCUAAUAUAGGAUGCUUUGCGCCCCGCACCACGUAGCUCUUGAGGUCUCGAAGGACCCUUAGUUGUCUGCCCUAACGGGUGACAAAACCGUUGCGACCCCAGGUCAGGCGGGGCUACCCGCUGAGUUUAAGCAUAUCAAUAAGCGGAGGAA